GAUGAAGAACGUAGCGAAAUGCGAUAAGUAAUGUGAAUUGCAGAAUUCAGUGAAUCAUCGAAUCUUUGAACGCACAUUGCGCCCCUUGGUAUUCCGGGGGGCAUGCCUGUUCGAGCGUCACUUCAACCCUCAAGCUCAGCUUGGUAUUGAGUCCAUGUCAGUAAUGGCAGGCUCUAAAAUCAGUGGCGGCGCCGCUGGGUCCUGAACGUAGUAAUAUCUCUCGUUACAGGUUCUCGGUGUGCUUCUGCCAAAACCCAAAUUUUCUAUGGUUGACCUCGGAUCAGGUAGGGAUACCCGCUGAACUUAAGCAUAUCAAUAAGCGGAGGA
rnacentral:misc_RNA from 1 species